GACAGAGGGUGCGAACGUUGUUCGGAUUUACUGGGCGUAAAGGGCGCGUAGGCGGCCUCUGCAAGUCGACUGUGAAAUCUCCGGGCUUAACCCGGAACGGUCAGCCGAUACUGCAGGGCUAGAGUGCAGAAGGGGCAACCGGAAUUCUCGGUGUAGCGGUGAAAUGCGUAGAUAUCGAGAGGAACACCUGCGGCGAAGGCGGGUUGCUGGGCUGACACUGACGCUGAGGCGCGAAAGCUAGGGGAGCGAACGGG
rnacentral:rRNA from 1 species